CUGAUCCAGCCAUGCCGCGUGCGGGAAGAAGGCCUUCGGGUUGUAAACCGCUUUUAGCUGGGAAGAAAAGGCACGGGCCAAUACCCCGUGUUCUUGACGGUACCGGCGGAAUAAGCACCGGCUAACUACGUGCCAGCAGCCGCGGUAAUACGUAGGGUGCGAGCGUUAAUCGGAAUUACUGGGCGUAAAGCGUGCGCAGGCGGUUCGUUGUGUUUGCGGUGAAAGCCCCGGGCUCAACCUGGGAAUGGCCGUGAAAACUGGCGAGCUGGAGUGUGGCAGAGGGGGGUGGAAUUCCAGGUGUAGCAGUGAAAUGCGUAGAGAUCUGGAGGAACACCGAUGGCGAAGGCAGCCCCCUGGGCUGACACUGACGCUCAGGCACGAAAGCGUGGGGAGCAAACAGGAUUAGAUACCCUGGUAGUCCACGCCCUAAACGAUGGCAACUGGGUGUUGGGGGAGCGAUUCCUCAGUACCGUAGCUAACGCGUGAAGUUGCCCGCC
rnacentral:rRNA from 1 species